rnacentral:rRNA from 1 species
GUGGGGAAUUUUGGACAAUGGGCGAAAGCCUGAUCCAGCAAUGCCGCGUGCAGGAUGAAGGCCCUCGGGUUGUAAACUGCUUUUGUACGAAACGAAAAGCCUGGGGCUAAUAUCCCCGGGUCAUGACGGUACCGUAAGAAUAAGCACCGGCUAACUACGUGCCAGCAGCCGCGGUAAUACGUAGGGUGCAAGCGUUAAUCGGAAUUACUGGGCGUAAAGCGUGCGCAGGCGGUUUUGUAAGACAGUGGUGAAAUCCGCGGGCUCAAACUGGGAACUGCCAUUGUGACUGCAAGGCUAGAGUGCGGCAGAGGGGGAUGGAAUUCCGCGUGUAGCAGUGAAAUGCGUAGAUAUGCGGAGGAACACCGAUGGCGAAGGCAAUCCCCUGGGCCUGCACUGACGCUCAUGCACGAAAGCGUGGGGAGCAAACAGGAUUAGAAACCCUGGUAGUCC